UAACACUAUCUCCUACUCUUGAGUCCGAGAAUUAGAUGAAAGGAGUAUUCCAGAAGUCAUACCUAGGAUAUGGAGAUGCGCAUCCUUAUUCCUUCAUAAAUGUCUGACAUUUAAAGUUGCUGAUAUCAUCUUGGCAUGAGCGUUGCAUAUGAUCAUAAUCGAUGGGAUCCCACAGCUAGCGGUCUUCUAAAAAAUUUAAGUUCUUAGGCGGC
rnacentral:lncRNA from 1 species